rnacentral:lncRNA from 1 species
GAACUUUUUCCAUUCAGUCAGCAUUAGGGUUUUAAAACCCUAAACUGAACUUUUUCCUUUAAUCAGCAUUAGGGUUUUAAACCUUAAACUGAACUCUUUCUUUUAGUCAGCAUUAGGGUUUUAAACCCUAAACUGAACUUUUUCCAAUUAGUCAGCAUUAAGGUUUUAAACCCUAAACUGAACUUUUUCCUUCAGUCAGCAUUAGGGUUUUAAACCCUAAACUGAACCUUUUCCUUUAAUCAGUAUUAGGGUUUUAAACCCUAAACUGAACUUUUUCCAUUCAGUCAGUAUUAGGGUUUUAAACCCUAAACUGAACUCUUUCCUUCAGUCAGCAUUAGGGUUUUAAACCCUAAACUGAACCUUUUCCUUUAAUCAGUAUUAGGGUUUUAAACCCUAAACUGAACUCUUUUCCUUCAAUCAGCAUUAGG